rfam:Helianthus annuus linkage group 5, whole genome shotgun sequence.
UUUUGGGAUUAAUGCUAGUGGAUAAAAGGGGAACUCCACAGUUAAGCGUGCUCAAGUGGGAGUAGUACCAGGAUGGGUGACCUCCUGGGAAGUCUCCAU